UAUCUGCUGGCUGUCAUCUUCAUUUCUAUUCAGGGAUCCUGUGGAGAGAUUGUGAUGACUCAGACUCCGGAUUCUAGCUCUGUGUCCCCGGGACAGACAGUCACCAUCACAUGUACAUCCAGUUCUGCUAUUUAUAGCUACAUAGCCUGGUACCAACAGAAGCCCCAACAACCUCCAAAGCUUCUUAUAUCAGGUGCCAGCACUCGGCAAUCCGGGAUCCCGGACAGGUUCAGUGGAUCAGGAUCUGGAUCUAAAUUCACAUUAACAAUUAAUGGAGCGACUGAAGAAGAUGAAGCAAAAUAUCACUGUCAGCAGUAUAGCUCCUACCCUCUCACACAGUGAUACAGAGCCGUACAAAAACCUCCUUCCUCUUUUAUAAAGAAACACAAUCACAGAUGUCAUCACUGGAACAUUCAUGUGAAUAAAU